rnacentral:rRNA from 1 species
CCGUAGCGAACAGCUCAGUAACACGUGGCCAAACUACCCUAUGGACGAGGAUAUCCUCGGGAAACUGAGGCGAAUCCACGAUACGGCUCCCACGCUGGAAUGCGGGGAGCCGGAAACGCUCCGGCGCCAUAGGAUGUGGCUGCGGCCGAUUAGGUAGACGGUGGGGUAACGGCCCACCGUGCCCAUAAUCGGUACGGGAUGUGAGAGCAAAUAGCCCGGAGAUGGAUUCUGAGACAAGAAUCCAGGCCCUACGGGGCGCAGCAGGCGCGAAACCUUUACACUGUACGCAAGUGCGAUAAGGGGACCCCGAGUGCGAGGGCAUACAGUCCUCGCUUUUGUACACCGUAAGGAGGUGUACGAAUAAGGGCUGGGCAAGACCGGUGCCAGCCGCCGCGGUAAUACCGGCAGCCCGAGUGAUGGCCGUUGUUAUUGGGCCUAAAGCGUCCGUAGCCGGCCGAGCAAGUCUGUCGGGAAAUCCAUCCGCCUAACGGAUGGGCGUCCGGCAGAAACUGUUCGGCUUGGGACCGGAAGAUCCGAGGGGUACGUCCGGGGUAGGAGUGAAAUCCCGUAAUCCUGGACGGACCGCCGGUGGCGAAAGCGCCUCGGAAGGACGGAUCCGACGGUGAGGGACGAAAGCUAGGGUCUCGAACCGGAUUAGAUACCCGGGUAGUCCUAGCCGUAA